UGAGGAAUAUUGGUCAAUGGACGAGAGCCUGAACCAGCCAAGUAGCGUGCAGGAUGACGGCCCUAUGGGUUGUAAACUGCUUUUAUGUGGGGAUAAAGUGCGUGACGUGUCAUGCAUUGCAGGUACCACAUGAAUAAGGACCGGCUAAUUCCGUGCCAGCAGCCGCGGUAAUACGGAAGGUCCGGGCGUUAUCCGGAUUUAUUGGGUUUAAAGGGAGCGUAGGCUGUCUAUUAAGCGUGUUGUGAAAUUUACCGGCUCAACCGGUGGCUUGCAGCGCGAACUGGUCGACUUGAGUAUGCAGGAAGUAGGCGGAAUUCAUGGUGUAGCGGUGAAAUGCUUAGAUAUCAUGACGAACUCCGAUUGCGCAGGCAGCUUACUGUAGCAUAACUGACGCUGAUGCUCGAAAGUGCGGGUAUCAAACAGG
rnacentral:rRNA from 1 species